UUGCUACUAUUUAGAUAAGAAUUUGAUUUUUAUUUAUGUGGAUUUAUAAAAAAAUUUUAAAUGCAAUCUAGACUAUCCGAAGAAAAAUAAUUUUUCCUUCCUUCAAGCUGCAAGUCUGAGUUCUCCAACCAUGAGAUAGUAAUUUCCAAUACCUCCCAUGCUAAGCCAAGGUCCUUGCAGCGACAUGCUUCCUUUGAACGAUCGACGAUAGCCCGAUCGAAGGAACAAGCGGCCC
rnacentral:lncRNA from 1 species